rnacentral:rRNA from 1 species
UGGGGAAUUUUGGACAAUGGGCGCAAGCCUGACCCAGCCAUGCCGCGUGCGGGAAGAAGGCCUUCGGGUUGUAAACCGCUUUUGUCAGGGAAGAAAUCUUCUGAGUUAAUACCUCGGGAGGAUGACGGUACCUGAAGAAUAAGCACCGGCUAACUACGUGCCAGCAGCCGCGGUAAUACGUAGGGUGCAAGCGUUAAUCGGAAUUACUGGGCGUAAAGCGUGCGCAGGCGGUUUUGUAAGACAGAGGUGAAAUCCCCGGGCUCAACCUGGGAACUGCCUUUGUGACUGCAAGGCUUGAGUGCGGCAGAGGGGGAUGGAAUUCCGCGUGUAGCAGUGAAAUGCGUAGAUAUGCGGAGGAACACCUAUGGCGAAGGCAAUCCCCUGGGCCUGCACUGACGCUCAUGCACGAAAGCGUGGGGAGCAAACAGGAUUAGACACCCUGGCAGUCCACGCCCUAAACGAUGUCAACUGGUUGUUGGGAAGGUUCCUUCUCAGUAACGUAGCUAACGCGUGAAGUUGACCGCCUGGGGAGUACGGCCGCAAGGUUGAAACUUAAAGGAAUUGACGGGGUCCAUAGGCGUUUCCU